rnacentral:rRNA from 1 species
UAGUCUGGGAUACCACUUGGAAACAGGUGCUAAUACCGGAUAAGAAAGCGGAUCGCAUGAUCAGCUUUUAAAAGGCGGCGUAAGCUGUCGCUAUGGGAUGGCCCCGCGGUGCAUUAGCUAGUUGGUAAGGUAAAGGCUUACCAAGGCGAUGAUGCAUAGCCGAGUUGAGAGACUGAUCGGCCACAUUGGGACUGAGACACGGCCCAAACUCCUACGGGAGGCAGCAGUA